rnacentral:lncRNA from 1 species
UACGUGCUAAGAAUAUUUGUUGUGUGUUGAUAUUUUCCUUAAUUAUAAUUAGUAUGGCAUUUUCAUUGAAAAAAAUGUUCGGAAAAGGUACAUCUAAGUCCGGUGAAAGUAGUCGCCAAAAUUCUACCCCUCCCCCGGCUUCCCGACCUAGAAAAGAUAAACAAGUUCAAACUAGUAGCCAACCUAGAAAUACUAAUGAAAACNNNN